GCUCUAUUCGAUAUUGCCUUGAUCUUCAGGAUCCCUGUCUGAACACAGAAAUUGAGUGUUCGCAAGGAUUCCUCAAGAUCAGGGCUUCGAGUCAGCU
rnacentral:miRNA from 14 species